rnacentral:rRNA from 1 species
AACGAACGCUGGCGGCGGGCCUAACACAUGCAAGUCGAGCGAGCGGCGGACGUGUGAGUAAUGUCUGGGACCCUGCCUGAUGGGGGGCGAUGACUACUGGAAACGGUAGCUAAUACCGCAAACACUCAGAUGUCCCCUGGUGGGAUUAGCGAGUAGGUGGGGUAACGGCUCACCUGGGCGACGGUCCCCAUCCGGCCGGAGAGGAUGACCAGCGGCACGGGAGUGGUACCAAGGACCAGACUCCUACGGGAGGGAGCAGUGGGGAAUAUGGGACAAUGGGGGCAAGCCUGAUGCAGCCAUGCCGCGUGUGUGAAGAAGGCCUUCGGGUUGUAAAGCACGUUCAGCGGUGAUGCGUUACUCGCAGAAGAAGCACCGGCUAACUCCGUGCCAGCCGCCGCGGUAAUUC